AGUCGACGGCAGCACGGGAGCUUGCUCCUGGUGGCGAGUGGCGAACGGGUGAGUAAUACAUCGGAACGUACCCAGGAGUGGGGGAUAACGUAGCGAAAGUUACGCUAAUACCGCAUAUUCUGUGAGCAGGAAAGCGGGGGAUCGCAAGACCUCGCGCUCUUGGAGCGGCCGAUGUCGGAUUAGCUAGUUGGUGAGGUAAAAGCUCACCAAGGCGACGAUCCGUAGCAGGUCUGAGAGGAUGAUCUGCCACACUGGGACUGAGACACGGCCCAGACUCCUACGGGAGGCAGCAGUGGGGAAUUUUGGACAAUGGGCGAAAGCCUGAUCCAGCCAUGCCGCGUGAGUGAAGAAGGCCUUCGGGUUGUAAAGCUCUUUCAGCCGGAAAGAAAUCGCGCAGGCUAAUACUCUGCGUGGAUGACGGUACCGGAAGAAGAAGCACCGGCUAACUACGUGCCAGCAGCCGCGGUAAUACGUAGGGUGCGAGCGUUAAUCGGAAUUACUGGGCGUAAAGCGUGCGCAGGCGGAUUGUUAAGCAAGACGUGAAAUCCCCGGGCUUAACCUGGGAAUGGCGUUUUGAACUGGCAGUCUAGAGUGCGUCAGAGGGGGGUGGAAUUCCACGUGUAGCAGUGAAAUGCGUAGAGAUGUGGAGGAACACCGAUGGCGAAGGCAGCCCCCCGGGAUGACACUGACGCUCAUGUACGAAAGCGUGGGUAGCAAACAGGAUUAGAUACCCUGGUAGUCCACGCCCUAAACGAUGUCAACUGGUUGUUGGGGGAGUGAAAUCCCUUAGUAACGAAGCUAACGC
rnacentral:rRNA from 1 species